rnacentral:rRNA from 1 species
UACGUAGGUGGCGAGCGUUAUCCGGAAUUAUUGGGCGUAAAGAGGGAGCAGGCGGCACUAAAGGUCUGUGGUGAAAGCCCGAAGCUUAACUUCGGUAAGCCAUGGAAACCGUAGAGCUAGAGUGUGUGAGAGGAUCGUGGAAUUCCAUGUGUAGCGGUGAAAUGCGUAGAUAUAUGGAGGAACACCAGUGGCGAAGGCGACGAUCUGGCGCACAACUGACGCUCAGUCCCGAAAGCGUGGGGAGCAAA